rnacentral:rRNA from 1 species
CCCCUAGACGUUCUGGGCUGCACGCGCGCUACAAUAAUACGCACAGCGAGUAUCACCGAGCUCGAAAGUGCAAGGUAAACAAUAGAAAAGGUACUGUAAUGGUUAUAGAUCCUUGUAAUUAUUGAUCUUCAACGAGGAAUUCCUAGUAAGUAUGUGUCAUCAUCACGCACUGAUUACGUCCCUGCCCUUUGUACACACCGCCCGUCGCUCCUACCGAUUGAGUGAGCCGAUGAAACUGCCGGAUGUGGACUAUUCAUAGUCUGCAGAAGAUAUUUGAAUCGUAGCGCUUAGAGGAAGGAGAAGUCGUAACA